AUACAUUUAAGCAGGUUUAUGGGACACCAGGGCCGCCACCAGAAAUGUUGGGGCCCCUAACUCAGCUUAGGGUCUGGGGCCCGCCUCCAAUCCCACCCACAGGGUCCGCCUCCAAAUCCCACCCAAAGGAAUACACACACAGACACAAACACACACACUGAUACAAAAGGACACAGAUACACACACAGAUACAUACUAACAGACACACAUACUGAAACAGACAUACACACAUACAUAUACAGACACACAGGCAUACAUAGUGACAGACAGACACAUAAUAACAUACAUAUAGACACAUGCAUGAGGACAUACAGACACAUACAUACAGACACCGACAUACGUACAUUCAUAAUGACAUACAGACAUACUUAUAUACAGACAUACUGACAGACAUACAGACAGACAUACAGACACUGACAUCCAUACACACAUACAUUCAUAAUGGCAUACAGACAUACAUUCAUACUGGCAUACAUGCAUAUAUAUAGACAUACUGACAUACAUGCACACUGACGUCCAUACACACAUACACGCAGACACACGUUCAUAAUGAC